CGUCAAGUCCUCAUGGCCUUUAUGACCAGGGCUACACACGUGUUACAAUGGGAGUUACAGAGGGAAGCUAAGCCGCGAGGCCAUGCCAAUCCCAGAAAAACUUUCUCAGUUCGGAUCGCAGUCUGCAACUCGACUGCGUGAAGCUGGAAUCGCUAGUAAUCGCGGAUCAGCACGCCGCGGUGAAUACGUUCCCGGGCCUU
rnacentral:rRNA from 1 species